GACCGGCGCACGGGUGCGUAACGCGUAUGCAAUCUACCUCUUACAAAGGGAUAGCCCAGAUAAAUUUGGAUUAAUACCUUAUAGUAUUACGACUUGCAUGUGUUAUGUCUGAAAAGAUUUAUCGGUAAAAGAUGAGCAUGCGUCCCAUUAGCUAGUUGGUAUGGUAACGGCAUACCAAGGCUACGAUGGGUAGGGGUCCUGAGAGGGAGAUCCCCCACACUGGUACUGAGACACGGACCAGACUCCUACGGGAGGCAGCAGUGAGGAAUAUUGGACAAUGGGCGCAAGCCUGAUCCAGCCAUGCCGCGUGCAGGAUGACGGUCCUAUGGAUUGUAAACUGCUUUUAUACAGGAAGAAACAACUCUACGUGUAGAGUCUUGACGGUACUGUAAGAAUAAGGAUCGGCUAACUCCGUGCCAGCAGCCGCGGUAAUACGGAGGAUCCAAGCGUUAUCCGGAAUCAUUGGGUUUAAAGGGUCCGUAGGCGGUUUAGUAAGUCAGUGGUGAAAGCCCAUCGCUCAACGGUGGAACGGCCAUUUGAUACUGCUAGACUUGAAUUAUUAGGAAGUUGAGAGUAUGUAGUAGUGUAGCGGUGAAA
rnacentral:rRNA from 1 species